GCUAUUUUAGUUUAAUUAGAAUGUUUGAUUUGUAAUCAAGAGGUUUAUUGUAGCU
rnacentral:tRNA from 1 species